rnacentral:rRNA from 1 species
GACGAACGCUGGCGGCGUGCUUAACACAUGCAAGUCGAACGGAAAGGCCCUGCUUGCAGGGUACUCGAGUGGCGAACGGGUGAGUAACACGUGGGUGAUCUGCCCUGCACUUCGGGAUAAGCCUGGGAAACUGGGUCUAAUACCGGAUAGGAGCCAUUUUUAGUGUGAUGGUUGGAAAGUUUUUUCGGUGUAGGAUGAGCUCGCGGCCUAUCAGCUUGUUGGUGGGGUAAUGGCCUACCAAGGCGGCGACGGGUAGCCGGCCUGAGAGGGUGGACGGCCACAGUGGGACUGAGAUACGGCCCAGACUCCUACGGGAGGCAGCAGUGGGGAAUAUUGCACAAUGGGCGCAAGCCGGAUGCAGCGACGCCGCGUGGGGGAUGACGGCCUUCGGGUUGGAAACUCCUUUCGCUAGGGACGAAGCUUUUUGUGACGGUACCUAGAGAAGAAGCACCGGCUAACUACGUG